UCUUACGAAGAGUAAAUAAGUUCUGCUACUGAUUUUUAAGUGAUGAUAAAGUGUGUCUGAGGAGA
rnacentral:snoRNA from 1 species